rnacentral:lncRNA from 1 species
UCAAAGUGUUGUUUCUUACUGUGCUGCCCGACUUAUUCAGUACAGAAUAAGAUACUGCAAGUAGCUCUUUAGCAUCCAUUUGGAGGGAGGUGCAUCAAUUUGCCCUCUCUUUGUUCUUCCAUUCUAUUUGCAGACUAUAUAAUGGUCAGACCAAGGCAGAACUGAUUCAUGCAGAGAUGAAGAUUUCACUCCUGGAUGCUUAGAGCAGUGCCUAGUCAUGAAACCAGAAUCUGACUCUUGUAUGAUUCGUUCUCAAACUGGGACUGCAGGUGUGGUGUGUGGAGGAGCAGCUGAAUGAUCUCUGUAUGAAAAAGCAAUAGUCAGAUGACUAUGCCUCUCCGUGGCAGCAUGCAUCCACAGGAUCCCUGUGAAGAGUAAAACCUGGCUCAGCAUGUGACACAGAACCUUCAAACUAAAGGUGAGUUGCCACCGGAGGACCUCACUGCACAGGACCAAGAAUAACUAUGCU